rnacentral:rRNA from 1 species
AUUGAACGCUGGCGGCAUGCCUUACACAUGCAAGUCGAACGGCAGCGGGCCUUCGGGUGCCGGCGAGUGGCGAACGGGUGAGUAAUGCAUCGGAACGUGCCAUUGAGUGGGGGAUAACGUAGCGAAAGUUGCGCUAAUACCGCAUAUUCUGUGAGCAGGAAAGCAGGGGGACCGCAAGGCCUUGCGCUCUUUGAGCGGCCGAUGUCAGAUUAGCUAGUUGGUGAGGUAAAGGCUUACCAAGGCGACGAUCUGUAGCGGGUCUGAGAGGAUGAUCCGCCACACUGGAACUGAGACACGGUCCAGACUCCUACGGGAGGCAGCAGUGGGGAAUUUUGGACAAUGGGGGCAACCCUGAUCCAGCCAUGCCGCGUGAGUGAAGAAGGCCUC